rnacentral:rRNA from 1 species
GACGAACGCUUGCGGCGUGCUUAACACAUGCAAGUCGAACGGAAAGGCCCUGCUUUUGUGGGGUGCUCGAGUGGCGAACGGGUGAGUAACACGUGAGUAACCUGCCCUUGACUUUGGGAUAACUUCAGGAAACUGAGGCUAAUACCGGAUAGGAGCUCCUGCUGCAUGGUGGGGGUUGGAAAGUUUCGGCGGAUGGGGAUGGACUCGCGGCUUAUCAGCUUGUUGGUGGGGUAGUGGCUUACCAAGGCCUUGACGGGUAGCCGGCCUGAGAGGGUGACCGGCCACAUUGGGACUGAGAUACGGCCCAGACUCCUACGGGAGGCAGCAGUGGGGAAUAUUGCACAAUGGGCGGAAGCCUGAUGCAGCAACGCCGCGUGCGGGAUGACGGCCUUCGGGUUGUAAACCGCUUUCGCCUGUGACGAAGCGUGAGUGACGGUAAUGGGUAAAGAAGCACCGGCUAACUACGUGCCAGCAGCCGCGGUGAUACGUAGGGUGCGAGCGUUGUCCGGAUUUAUUGGGCGUAAAGGGCUCGUAGGUGGUUGAUCGCGUCGGAAGUGUAAUCUUGGGGCUUAACCCUGAGCGUGCUUUCGAUACGGGUUGACUUGAGGAAGGUAGGGGAGAAUGGAAUUCCUGGUGGAGCGGUGGAAUGCGCAGAUAUCAGGAGGAACACCAGUGGCGAAGGCGGUUCUCUGGGCCUUUCCUGACGCUGAGGAGCGAAAGCGUGGGGAGCGAACAGGCUUAGAUACCCUGGUAGUCCACGCUGUAAACGGUGGGUACUAGGUGUGGGGUCCAUUCCACGGGUUCCGUGCCGUAGCUAACGCUUUAAGUACCCCGCCUGGGGAGUACGGCCGCAAGGCUAAAACUCAAAGGAAUUGACGGGGCCCCGCACAAGCGGCGGAGCAUGCGGAUUAAUUCGAUGCAACGCGUAGAACCUUACCUGGGUUUGACAUGGAUCGGGAGUGCUCAGAGAUGGGUGUGCCUCUUUUGGGGUCGGUUCACAGGUGGUGCAUGGCUGUCGUCAGCUCGUGUCGUGAGAUGUUGGGUUAAGUCCCGCAACGAGCGCAACCCUUGUUCACUGUUGCCAGCACGUUAUGGUGGGGACUCAGUGGAGACCGCCGGGGUCAACUCGGAGGAAGGUGGGGAUGACGUCAAGUCAUCAUGCCCCUUAUGUCCAGGGCUUCACGCAUGCUACAAUGGCUGGUACAGAGAGUGGCGAGCCUGUGAGGGUGAGCGAAUCUCGGAAAGCCGGUCUCAGUUCGGAUUGGGGUCUGCAACUCGACCUCAUGAGGUCGGAGUCGCUAGUAAUCGCAGAUCAGCAACGCUGCGGUGAAUACGUUCCCGGG